rnacentral:rRNA from 1 species
GACGAACGCUGGCGGCGUGCUUAACACAUGCAAGUCGAACGGACUUUCUGACUUUCGGGUUGGUUGGUUAGUGGCGAACGGGUGAGUAACACGUGAGUAACCUGCCCCCCUCUUUGGGAUAACUGCGAGAAAUUGUAGCUAAUACCGAAUAUUCACUGAUGGCCGCAUGGUUGUGGGUGGAAAGAUUUUUUGGUGGGGGAUGGGCUCGCGGCCUAUCAGCUUGUUGGUGGGGUGAUGGCCUACCAAGGCUUUGACGGGUAGCCGGCCUGAGAGGGCGACCGGCCACACUGGGACUGAGAUACGGCCCAGACUCCUACGGGAGGCAGCAGUGGGGAAUAUUGCACAAUGGGCGAAAGCCUGAUGCAGCAACGCCGCGUGCGGGAUGACGGCCUUCGGGUUGUAAACCGCUUUCACCAGGGGCGAAUGUAGACGGUACCUGGGGAAGAAGCACCGGCUAACUACGUG